AGAGCAAGGGGAAGGAAAACCCAUCUCCUUCAAACCCUACUUCAAGAAAUCUCAAAAAUUGAAGCACUGUAAAUCAAGAAUCAGUUGCAUGAACCCAAAAACUCCCUAAUCUAAAUACAUUCUACGAAAAGGGCGUGAAGGAAGAAAGCUCGAACACGAAGAAAACGGAAAACUCACAAGAUUGAGGUAAAUUCUCAACAUGAUCUAUGCCCAUCUCACGCUUCCGACAUUGCCAACUUAAUGUGGUCUUAGUUUUGGUUUUAUGUACUUUCAACUUAUGUAGUCUUUUGAUGUCCUUGUAGUUUGGGCAAUAACUUCGUAGUAGUAGUUUUGUUUUUGAACAAUGUAGACAAUGUCCAUUUUGGGUUUUAAAAAGGUCUUUUAUGUUGUAGUAUUUUACCGUCUAAAACAGGAAU